rnacentral:misc_RNA from 1 species
GAUGAAGAACGUAGCGAAAUGCGAUACGUAAUGUGAAUUGCAGAUUUCAGUGAAUCAUCGAAUCUUUGAACGCACAUUGCGCCCGCUAGUAUUCUGGCGGGCAUGCCUGUUCGAGCGUCAUUUCAACCAUCAAGCCCUAGGCUUGCGUUGGAGCCCUGCGGCUGCCGCAGGCUCCCAAAUCCAGUGGCGGGCUCGUCGUCGUACCGAGUGCAGUAAACAUCCUCGCUCAGGGAACGUUACGGGUUCUUGCCGUGAAACCCCCCACAUAUCAAGGUUGACCUCGGAUCAGGUAGGAAUACCCGCUGAACUUAAGCAUAUCAAUAAGCGGAGGA